UUCCAGACUCCUACGGGAGGCAGCAGUGGGGGAUAUUGCACAAUGGGGGGAACCCUGAUGCAGCGACGCCGCGUGGGUGAAGAAGUAUUUCGGUAUGUAAAGCCCUAUCGGCAGGGAAGAAAUUGGACGGUACCUGACUAAGAAGCACCGGCUAAAUACGUGCCAGCAGCCGCGGUAAUACGUAUGGUGCAAGCGUUAUCCGGAUUUACUGGGUGUAAAGGGAGCGCAGGCGGUUCUGCAAGUCUGAUGUGAAAGCCCGGGGCUCAACCGCGGGACUGCAUUGGAAACUGCGGGACUGGAGCGUCGGAGGGGUAAGCGGAAUUCCUGGUGUAGCGGUGAAAUGCGUGGAUAUCAGGAGGAACACCGGUGGCGAAGGCGGCUUACUGGACGAUGACUGACGCUGAGGCUCGAAAGCGUGGGGAGCAAACAGGAUUAGAUACCCGUGUA
rnacentral:rRNA from 1 species